GGGGGGGGGGGGGGGGGGGGUUAGAAGGAUUACUUUAUCCUAUCCCAGGUAUUCCUUAAAGAGGUGGGGUUCCAGGUGUCUCCGGAAGGUGGUGAUUGAGUCUGCUGUCCUGGCGUCGUGAGGGAGAUUGUUCCACCAUUGGGGGGCCAGAGCAGCGAACAGUUUUGACUGGGCUGAGCGGGAACUGUGCUUCCGCAGAGGUAGGGAGGCGAGCAGGCCAGAGGUGGAUGAACGCAGUGCCCUUCUUUGGGUGUAGGGACUGAUCAGAGCCUGAAGGUACGGAGGUGCCAUUCCCCUCACAGCUCUGUAGGCAAGCACCAUGGUCUUGUAGCAGAUGCGAGCUUCAACUGGAAGCCAGUGGAGUGUGCGGAGGAGCGGGGUGACGUGAGAUUACUUGGGAAGGUUGAACACCAGACGGGCUGCGGUGUUCUGGAUGAGUUGUAGGGGUUUAAUGGCACAGGCAGGGAGCCCCGCCAACAGCGAGUUGCAGUAAUCCAGACGGGAAAUGACAAGUUAUAUCCUGCCUGUUUGGCCCUGCCCGGGGGUAUCAUCGGAUGGGGGAUGUCUCCAACCACCAACUUACCGUCCUAAGACAAGGCCGAGUAUAGCCCACAACGAUCUCCGCCAUGGCACAACCCAAGGGGGGGGCGCCAACCCAGACAGGAAGACCACGUCAGUGACUCAACCCACUCAAGUGAUGCACCCCUCCCAUGGACGGCAUGGAAGAACACCAGUAAGCCAGUGACUCAGCCCCUGUAAUAGGGUUAGAGGCAGAGAAUCCCAGUAGAAAGAGGGGAACCGGCAAGGCAGAGACAGCAAGGGCGGUUCGUUGCUCCAGCCUUUCCGUUCACCUUCACACUCCUGGGCCAGACUAUACUUAAUCAUAGGACCUACUGAAGAGAUAAGUCUUCAGUAAAGACUUAAAGGUUGAGACUGAGUCUGCGUCUCUCACAUUGGUAGGCAGACCAUUCCAUAAAAAUGGAGCUCUAUACGAGAAAGCCCUACCUCCAGCCGUUUGCUUAGAAAUUCUAGGGACAAUUAGGAGGCCUGCGUCUUGUGACCGUAGCGUACGUGUAGGUAUGUACGGCAGGACCAAAUCGGAAAGAUAGGUAGGAGCAAGCCCAUGUAAUGCUUUGUAGGUUAGCAGUAAAACCUUGAAAUCAGCCCUUGCCUUAACAGGAAGCCAGUGUAGGGAGGCUAGCACUGGAGUCAUAUGAUCAAAUUUUUGGGUUCUAGUCAGGAUUCUAGCAGCCGUAUUUAGCACUAACUGAAGUUUGUUUAGUGCUUUAUCCGGGUAGCCGGAAAGUAGAGCAUUGCAGUAGUCCAGCCUAGAAGUAACAAAAGCAUGGAUUAAUUUUUCUGCGUCAUUUUUGGACAGAAAGUUUCUGAUUUUUGCAAUGUUACGUAGAUGGAAAAAAAGCUG
rnacentral:lncRNA from 1 species